AAAGCGAAGCGGUGACGUGGAGCAAACCUCAGAAAGCCAAUCUCAGUUCGGAUUGUAGGCUGCAACUCGCCUACAUGAAGUUGGAAUCGCUAGUAAUCGCGAAUCAGAAUGUCGCGGUGAAUACGUUCCCGGGUCUUGUACACACCGCCCGUCACACCACGAGAGUUUACAACACCCGAAGUCAGUGGCCUAACCGCAAGGAGGGAGCUGCCUAAGGUGGGGUAGAUGAUUGGGGUGAAGUCGUAACAAGGUAUC
rnacentral:rRNA from 1 species